UGGGGAAUUUUGGACAAUGGGCGCAAGCCUGAUCCAGCAAUGCCGCGUGCAGGAUGAAGGCCUUCGGGUUGUAAACUGCUUUUGUACGGAACGAAAAGCCUCUCUCUAAUACAGGGGGGUGAUGACGGUACCGUAAGAAUAAGCACCGGCUAACUACGUGCCAGCAGCCGCGGUAAUACGUAGGGUGCAAGCGUUAAUCGGAAUUACUGGGCGUAAAGCGUGCGCAGGCGGUUUUGUAAGACAGUGGUGAGAUCCCCGGGCUCAACCUGGGAACUGCCAUUGUGACUGCAAGGCUGGAGUGCGGCAGAGGGGGGAUGGAAUUCCGCGUGUAGCAGUGAAAUGCGUAGAUAUGCGGAGGAACACCGAUGGCGAAGGCAAUCCCCUGGGCCUGCACUGACGCUCAUGCACGAAAGCGUGGGGAGCAAACAGGAUUAGAUACCCUGGUAGUCCACGCCCUAAACGAUGUCAACUGGUUGUUGGGGAUUUAUUUCUUCAGUAACGAAGCUAACGCGUGAAGUUGACCGCCUGGGGGAGUACGGCCGCAAGGUUAAAACUU
rnacentral:rRNA from 1 species